AAAAAAAGGGUUUUUUUACCAUCAUGAAUAAAACGUUUGUCAAGUAUUUGCACAUUACCAAAAUGACAAAAACAUCAAAUUCCAUACUUAUGAAAUCUGGAAUCUGGCCAUGGAUUUGGGGUUUUUGGUCUUUAUCAUGGCUUCAUAGUUUGGGGAAGAAGAGGAAAAUCUGCCUGAUCCAUCCUAAGAAAGCAACACAAAAGCUUCACAGCGCCAGGAAUAAUAAGACCAUUUUGUCAGGAUCACCUUGAAUUAUCCUCCACACUGCUUGCAAUGCCUCCCAGUGACACUUCAAGAAGAUGGUAGCAACCGCCUGUUGUCAGUUACUGUGACUUUAUCUAGAUUCAGAAGCUCAGGGAAAAGUGGAGCUCAUCAGCAGGAAGAGAAAGAAGUGGAAUGUUAAGUUAUUGAGAAGUAUAUGCCAUUCAAGAUCAGAAAAGUUUGUUUUUAUCAUAUACCAUACAUAGUCUGAUCACGUGAGACACUGGAGAGAAUGCAAUUUGUCAAGGAAUUCAUGAUUAUAAGCAGUAUUUCCAUUUUCACAAGAUUUUUUGAUGAGUGAAUUUUGAAAUCAUAUUUAUAUAAAUGAACAAUAAAGGAGGUAUUUAAGACUAUAUCAAUGUAUCUAGUGAUUAUGAAUAUGUUUGGAACUAUGCUUGGUUGAAGUCAGGAAGGACAGAUGAUUGGACGAAACUAUACACCCCGUGUUUGAAAUAAAAUGAAAUUAAGGGAUGAAACAAAGGAGUAUUUUUUU